GCACCAGUAGUUCAAUGGAUAGAGCAGGAGUUUUCUAAACUCUUAGUUGUGGGUUCGAGUCCUACCUGGUGUA
rnacentral:tRNA from 2 species